GUAUUUGGUUUGUGAUUAUAUCAAAUGCUUGUACAGAAAAUGGAUUCAGUGCACAAUGUUUGGGAUGAGUCAGCGGUCAGAGGUGUUGAGCUGAAUUAUAUCACUGUGCUGCAGUUAUGGAGCCUGUAGAAAUGAGUGAGAAUUUGAUAUCUUUGGUGCAUAUUCCUAAAUAAAAUAUAAUUUUGCC